rnacentral:rRNA from 1 species
AAUCAACGCUGGCGGCGUGCCUAACACAUGCAAGUCGAACGCGAAAGCCCUUUCGGGGGUAAGUAGAGUGGCGUCCGGGUGAGUAACACGUAGGUAAUCUGCCUUCGGGUGGGGAAUAACCACGUCGAAAGAUUGGCUAAUACCGCAUAAUGCAGCGGCACCUAAUGGUGAUUAGUUGUUAAAGCGGGGGAUCGUAAGACCUCGCGCCUGAAGAGGAGCCUGCGGCAGAUUAGCAGUUGGUGAGGUAAUGGCUCACCAAGGCUUCGAUCUGUAGCUGGUCUGAGAGGACGGCCAGCCACACUGGCACUGACACACGGGCCAGACUCCUACGGGAGGCAGCAGUGGGGAAUUUUGGGCAAUGGGCGAAAGCCUGACCCAGCAACGCCGCGUGAGGGAGGAAAUCCUUCGGGAUGUAAACCUCACAAGCAAGGGAAGAGAGCUCAGGGCCGAACAAGCUUUGAGUCCGACGGUACCUUG